CCUACGGGAGGCAGCAGUGGGGAAUAUUGCACAAUGGGGGAAACCCUGAUGCAGCGACGUCGCGUGAGUGAUGAAGUCUUUCGGUAUGUAAAGCUCUUUCUGUAGGGAAGAAAAUUACGGUACCUGUCUAAUUAUCCCCGUCUAAUUACGUUCCAGCUGCCGCGGUAAUACGGAGGGGGCAAGCGUUAUCCGGAUUUACUGGGUGUAAAGGGAGCGUAGACGGCGGUGCAAGCAAGAUGUGAAGGCCCGGGGCUCAACCCCGAGACUGCAUUUGGAACUGGGCGGCUAGAGUGUAGGAGAGGCAGGCGGAAUUCCUGGUGUAGCGGUGAAAUGCGUAGAUAUUAGGAGGAACACCAGUGGCGAAGGCGGCCUGCUGGACGGUGACUGACGUUGAGGCUCGAAAGCGUGGGGAGCAAACAGGAUUAGAUACCCGAGUAGUC
rnacentral:rRNA from 1 species